GCGAAAUCGAUAAAUUAGGCCUCCCAACGAAUUUUUUUUUCUAAACAAAGAUGGUAUACAUAAAAUUAACUACUACCUAGUUUAUUCUUUCCAUAGUAUCAAAACAAAUCAAAACUCUUAAGAGUCUAGUUAAAAUCAAUUCUUUGUCCCUUGGUCAAGUCCAUUUCUUUUCUGUCCUCCACUCUAUCUUGUCCUAUAUCUAUGACCAAUAACAAAGAAUAAGUGAUGGCACCAGCUCUCAAACCUCAGCAACUUCUCUCAAGUAGAAAUGAAUCUGAAUCGAAAUCGAAAGUUCUAGUUUGGAUUAGAUUUUAAUAAUUAAGUGAACCCCAAAUGGUUCCAUUUAGCUCAAAGUACAAUGAAUGGUUUUCAAGUAUUAAAAUACUCAUACUGAUCCACUCCAUGCACAUGCCUAUAUUUUGUCACGUACGUAAUAAAUUAGUAAAUCUGCUAAUAAGCCACUCUCGACAACAAAAUUUGCUCAGAUUUUUAUUUUUUCCCCCCUAAAAUUGAAAUCUCAAAUUGGAGCUUCGUCUUAGGCCUUUUAAAGAAAAUCAUCCAUAGUUCAACCUACCUAACCAAGUCAUGUGAAACAUCAAAUAACAAUCAAGAGUUGAGUGCCUUAUCCUAUCUCGCACUUCAUCAUCAUCAUCAUCACAUACCCACAGAAUUCAGUAAAGGCAUUGAAGUUUAAUUAUGUAUUGUACUGUAAUCCAAAUACCCUCUUCAAAGAACUUUAACACGGUAACACUCAACCCUCGUCAGGGCCGUCCCAUUCCUUUUCCCUUCCCAACUCUUUCCAAGAACUUCUCUAAAAUUCAAUUACAGUAUACCCCACAGUCCACAUAGAAUAAAAAAGACCAUUUAUCAAUUAAAAUCAAGCCAUCAAAAUUAUAAUAAGUAAAUGCCUAAAUGUAAAUGGUAAAAGAGUUGAACUCACUAGUCACUAGCCCUAGGGAAGGAAACUCGAACUCACUCGUUCGACAACAAAAAUGCCAAUCCAGUA
rnacentral:lncRNA from 1 species